GAUGAAGAACGCAGUGAAAUGCGAUACGUAAUGUGAAUUGCAGAAUUCAGUGAAUCAUCGAAUCUUUGAACGCACAUUGCGCCCGCUAGUAUUCUGGCGGGCAUGCCUGUCCGAGCGUCAUUUCAACCCAUCAAGCUUAGCGCUUGUGUUGGAGCCCUGCGGCCGCCGCAGCCUCCUAAAAUCAGUGGCGGGCUCGCUAUCACGCUGAGUGCAGUAGUAUUCUUCUCACUCCUGUGGUGUAGCGGGUAACCAGCCGUAAACCCCCCCAUCUAUAAAGGUUGACCUCGGAUCAGGUAGGAAUACCCGCUGAACUUAAGCAUAUCAAUAAGCGGAGGA
rnacentral:misc_RNA from 1 species